rnacentral:rRNA from 1 species
UGUUGCAUGGCUGUCGUCAGCUCGUGUCGUGAGAUGUUCGGUUAAGUCCGCUAACGAGCGCAACCCUCGUCGUAUGUUAUAUGUGUCAUACGAGACUGCCGGUAAAAAGCCGGAGGAAGGUGAGGAUGAUGUCAAGUCAGCAUGACCUUUAUAUCCAGGGCUACACACACGCUACAAUGGUCUGUACAAUGGGUAGCCAAGCCGCGAGGCGGAGCCAAUCCUGAAAGCAGGCCUCAGUUCAGAUUGCAGUCUGCAACUCGACUGCAUGAAGCCGGAGUUGCUAGUAACCGCAGGUCAGCAAUACUGCGGUGAAUACGUUCCCGGGUCUU